AUAGGUUCUACCUAGGAGACUACUCAGACUACCCCAAAGACAAGGAGCUCAAUAUGAGAUAAAGAAGAGAGAGUGCAGCUACACCCUGAUGGCUAUGACAGAGCUAACUCUGCAACGAGGAAGCUACGAACUGUUUGUAUAUGUGUGGGACAAAGAAAACGUAGACUGAUCAGCAGCCAGCAAGACACCCGGAAGGUUGAAUACUGUGGGUUUGUUUUUUUUAAAUAGGUAUGGUCCGCAUAGACUCCUGUUUGCAUGCUUAGCCAUAGGGAAUGGCACUAUUAGGAGGUGUGGCCUUGUUAAGGGAAGUGUGUCACUGUGGAGGCAGGCCUUGAGGUUUCCUGUGAUCACACUGCACCCCCUGUGGCCACAGUCUCUCGCUGCCUGUGGAUCAAGAGGCAGUACCCUCAGCUCCUCCAGCCCCAUGCCUGCCUGCAUGCUGCCAUGCUUCUCACCAUGAUGACAAUGGACCGAACCUCUGAACUGGUGUUAUACAGUAUAUGCUGGUCUUGAAUUCACCAUGUAACUGAGGAUGACCCUAAACUUCUCAUCUUUCUGCGUUUACCUCCUCCGAAGUGCUGGAAUUACAAGCAUGUGCCACCAGGAUCAGUUUAUGCCAGUGCAAUGGAUUAAAUCCAGGACCCUGUGUUUCCUCUACUGAGCUAUACCCACAGCCAUGCAUUUUCAGUCAGGAAAAAAAAACAAAACAAAAACAGAAUUCCAGAAAUGAUGCAGGUGUUUGAGAAUGAUGGCGCCCUCCACUGGCCAACUUCAUGACCCAGUGACCUGAUUUGCUGGGCACUUACAGUCACAAGAGAUCAACCUGGGACAGUGCUCUAAGCUCACUGUCUAAUGCCAAUGAAGAUUACUGGUGUCGUGUCAUGUGGAGGUAGAAGCAGGCUUUAUUAAGAAUUAUUGCAUAAGGUUGGAGUGGUGGCUCAGCAAGAAUUAUACAUAGGAUUAGAGUAGUGGCUCAGAGGUUAAAAACAUUGGCUGCCCUUCCAGAGGUCCUGAGUUCAAUUCUCAGAAAUCACAUGGUGGCUCAGAACCAUCUAUAAUGAGAUCUGAUGCCCUCUUCUGGUGUAUCUGAAGACAGCUACAGUGUACAAAC
ensembl:lncRNA Lnc134 long non-coding RNA 134